rnacentral:lncRNA from 1 species
GAAGUCUCCAUCCUCUAUGUUGUACAUGAACACUUCUGAAAGUGUUUUUGUUAAGAGAGGGAUGUGAUCUUAGAAAUUAUACGAGGAAACUGUUUCUAUAAUGAGGUCAGAGAACAUGUCAGCCUGACUAACCGCCCCAAUUUAAAGAACUGUAUAAAAUGAGGAGUUAAAAAUGAACAUUUCAGACCAGAGAGGCGUGUCGCUGCAGCUCACGUCCAAAGGGGUUUGAACAUUGAAAUCUCAACACAAGGUAGAGACGAUAAGUCACCUCCUGGACAAUCACUGGUACAGCUGUCUAGCUGUCCUAAGUAUCUAGAAAAGUGAACUUAAGUGGGACCAUUCCACUACUCUUCUCAAAUCACUGUAGUACGCUACUCUCAUCACCCAACGGGAACCAUCGACAUGACUGGCUAGCCUAUCUUCAACCAGGACCUUGAGCAUGGCUGAGGAGCACCCGUGACCAGCUCGGAAACCAGAUUGCACAGUGGAGAAGGUACGGUGGGAUUCGAAAUGGUCAGUGAUCUGUUUAUUAACUUGGCUUUCAAAGACUUUAGAAAGGCAGGGCAGGAUGCAUAUAGGUCUAUAACAGUUUGGGUCUAGAGUGUCUCCCCCUUUGAAGAGGGGGAUGACAGCGGCAGCUUUCCAAUCUUUAGGGAUCUUGGAGUCUUGAACAGACUGGUAAUAGGGGUUGCAACAAUGGCGGCGGAUAAUUUUAGAAAGAGAGGGUCCAGAUUGUCUAGCCCAGCUGAUUUGUACGGGUCCAGGUUUUGCAGCUCUUUCAGAACAUCUGCUAUCUGGAUUUGGGUGAAGAAGCAUGGUGGCUAGGAAUCACCCCCUAGAAAGGCAGGAACCUAGGAAGAAACCUAGAGAGGAACCAGGCUCUGAGAGGUGGCCAGUCCUCUUCUGGCUGUGCCGGGUGGAGAUUAUAACAGUACAUGGCCAUUAAGGCCAGCUCGUUCUUCAAGAUGAUCAAACAUUCAUAGAUGACCAGCAGGGUCAAAUAAUAAUAAUCACAGUGGUUACAGAGGGUGCAACAGGUCAGCACCUCAGCAGUAAAUAUCAGUUGUCUUUUCAUUCAGAGGCCCGAGGCCACAGGUGCGGGACAAGGCAGCACGACCGGUGAACAGGUCAGGGUUCCAUAGCCGCAGGCAGAACAGCAGAAACUGGAUCAGCACCUCAACCAGGUGGACUGGGGACAGGGACAGCCAGGAGUCGUCAGGCCAGGUAGUCCUGAGACAUGAUCCUAAGGCUUAGGUCCUCCGGGUUGGGGGAGAGAGAGAGAGAGAGAGGUGGGAGAAUUAGAGGGACCAUACCUAAGAUUACACAGGACACGAGAUAAGACAGGAGAAUUACACCAGAUAGGACAGACUGACCCUAGCCCCACAGCACAUAGACUAUUCCAGCAUAGAUACUGGAG